UCCCUAUGGGGUGCAGCAGGCGCGAAACCUCCGCAAUGCGAGCAAUCGCGACGGGGGGACCCCAAGUGCCACUCUUAACGGGGUGGCUUUUCAUAAGUGUAAAAAGCUUUUGGAAUAAGAGCUGGGCAAGACCGGUGCCAGCCGCCGCGGUAAUUCA
rnacentral:rRNA from 1 species